AGCAGCCGCGGUAAUUCCAGCUCCAAUAGCGUAUAUUAAAGUUGUUGCAGUUAAAAGCUCGUAGUUGAAUUUCGGGGUCAGCAGGUUGGUCGUGCCAAUGGUAUGCACUGGCCUUGCUGAUUCCUCCCUCUUGAUGAGCCGUAAUGUCAUUAAUUUGGUGUUGCGGGGAAUCAGGACUGUUACUUUGAAAAAUUGAGUGUUUAAAGCAGGCAAGCGCUUGAAUACAUUAGCAUGGAAUAAUGAAAUAGGACGUUUGAUUCCUAUUUU
rnacentral:misc_RNA from 1 species